GAUGAACGUUGGCGGUGUGCCUAAUACAUGCAAGUCGAACGGAGACUGUAGCAAUACUGUCUUAGUGGCGAACGGGUGAGUAACGCGUUGGUGAUCUGCCUCGAAGUGUGGAAUAACCUCCCGAAAGGGAAGCUAAUACCGCAUAGUCUCUCAAGGUUUAGAAAAUUGAGAGUAAAGGAUUUAUUCGCUUCGAGAGGAGCCUGCGUCCCAUCAGCUAGUUGGUAGGGUAACGGCCUACCAAGGCAAUGACGGGUAGGGGACCUGAGAGGGUGGCCCCCCACAAUGGAACUGAAACACGGUCCAUACACCUACGGGUGGCAGCAGUAGGGAAUAUUAGUAAUGGGCGAAAGCCUGAACUAGCAACGCCGCGUGUGCGAAGAAGGCCUUCGGGUUGUAAAGCACUUUUUGAGAGGAUGAGGAAGGACGGUACUCUCAGAAUAAGUCUCGGCUAACUACGUG
rnacentral:rRNA from 1 species